CUGGUAGAGGCGCGCCUGUCAUCAGUAGCCUUGCUUGACGCCGGGGCGGCGUGGGGCGAAAGGGGCCGGCGCCGAAGGAUGUGCGAAUGCCCCGUUCGCGCAUAGCUGGGCCGUAGCAGAACAUGCUGCGGACUGUCGCGAAUGCGGAGAGCUGCC
rnacentral:ncRNA from 1 species